GGUGGUUCAGUGGUAGAAUGCUUGCCUUGCAUGCAUGAGGCUCUGGGUUCAAUUCCUCAGUACCA
rnacentral:tRNA from 1 species